CCUCCCUGUGGAGGUGGCAGGUUAUCAAGACAGAAGGUGUAGAGAAGAACCUUCCAGUCAAAGGAAAAAGGCAGGUCCUGCUGUUCUCAGGAAUGGCCAUAAAUACUAUCAUCCCCAUCUUAGAGACGGGGACAGGGUCGCAAAAUUAUCAGGGCGUUUCCUGGCUCCUCAACAGCUGGAUCCAAAGUCCUCUGGAGGAUAAGCCGCCCUGCCUGGAGCCGACCUCCCCUGGAGCGCGCGGUCGCGCAGGGCGCACAGGCCUCUUGGGCCCCGGGACCGGCUCAGGCUCAGGCUCGGCGUCAGCAAAGAGACCUGCGUGGCGCCCUGGGGCGGAGGAGGCCCGAAGGCCAGUGGGCGGCCACGGCAGACGGGAAGCCGUGCACGACGAGCACGAUCUCCCUGGGGAGGAGAACAGCGAUGUCGUGUGAGCCCCGCCGCGCCCCACUGCGGACGUAGCCCAGCGCCCUCGCCGCGGGUUCCCUCCUAUCCCACCCGAGAACGGGGUCCUCACUCCCGGCUUCAGCUGAGCCCCAGGCCCUGCAACUCCUGAAGGCACGCCCCCUGCACCUGCCCAUCUCAGGCCCCGCCUCCAGCCCAGCGGCCAAGAUCGUAGGUCUCUACAAUGACUCGGAGCCACCCCGGAAGACCAUGCGCAGAGGGGUGCUGAUGACCCUGCCCCUGUGGAUUGGGAAGCCCAGUGACAAGCCCCCACCCCUCUGUGGGGCCAUCCCCGCCUUGGGACUACAUGACCAGACCUGGAGACAAGGUGGCUGCCCGGGUGAAGGCCGUGGAUGGGGACAAGCAGUGGAUCCUGGCCGAGGUGGUCAGUUACCGCCACGCCACCAACGAGUGACACCAGCCCCAGGGCUGCUCUCAGCCCCUCCUGUCCCCCUGCCCCACAGCCCCAGGAUGACUACUCUAUCCUGUUUGAAGACACCUCCUAUGCAGAAGGCUACUCCCCUCACCUCAGUGUGACCCAGAGGUACCUGGUGGCUUCCAAGGAG